CUGAACUUUCAUGUGAAGUGCCACCCCUGUGAGUUUUUAUGUGGAUUCAAGGCAAUUAGAAGCCCAGUUCCUCCAAAUCCCUCCGCAGACUGGUGCUUUCUAAACGUAACUCUUGGACAUCAAAGCAUGAUAACUGGAGAUACAUCAUUCCUGACAACAGAAGCUCAAUAUAUCAACUCACAUAGAAAAUUGCUGAUUGCCAUUGGUGGGGAAGGCCAGUGUCCUAUCCAGUAGGACAUACCACCUCUCUGCAUUCGAAUCCCACUUCUGUAACGUACUACUCUUGAGACCUGAACCAAGUCAUUUCUAUGUGGAUGCUUAGUUUCCUUGGCUCUCCAAUAAGGGAGUCAAACCAGAUGACUCUGAAGAUUCAUUCUAUUGUUUUUGCCUUUCCUUCCGAGGUUACCUUCUGUAUCCUCUGUAUAUAUCUCGUAUGUGCAUAGUUGUUGGCAUGUUGUCUCUCCCUGUUAGAAUAGGAGCUCCUCAAGGGCAGGGGAAGUAUGUCUUCAUCUCUCUUUGUAUUCCAGCCAACGUCUGACCACUGGUGAGUGCUUAAGAACUGCUUAUUGACCGACUGACUGAUCUCGAUCCCAUUUUUCCGAAUACUCUAGGACUACUUUUAUGUUCAUGUUAAACUGUUCAUUCUUAGGUCUGAAGCUUUCCCUUCUUGGUAUCACAACCCUCUACAAAUCUGCCUCCCUUCCCCCUCUGGGGAACACAUCUUCCAUUGGUGCCAAGCUUAGAAGAGCCUGAGUUAGCUUGGGUAUUGUGACCAGGGUGAGCUGACUCCCAGUGCUACUAUAGUUCUGUUAGGCAGUGAGGAAGCCUUUCUCCUCUAAGCCAGGCAUAGGAAGGCAGCUCCAGGGCAAUCAGGGGAAGACCACGACAACGUCUCGAGUUUACACCACUGAGAAUACUUAUAUUCUCAGCACAAGCUCUCUCUAUCCCAAACCUCCUAAAUCUCUGUCUUCCAUCAAGAAAGAAAUGACCAUAAUAUGAUGGUGAUGGAAUACGAUUGUGCUAUAAGGAAUGAGGAACUGUUUGAUUUCUAUGAAAACUGGGAAGACCUCCAUGAACAGAUGUAGAGUGAAAGGAGCACAACCAGGAGAACAAUGUACACAGAGACCAACUGAUACAUUGUGGGAUGACCAAAUGUAAUCAACUUUGCUUCUAAUAGCAAUGCAAUGAUCCAGGACAAUUCUGAGGGACUUAUGAGAAAGAACGCUAUCCACAUCCAGAGAAAGAACUGUGGGAGCGGAAACACAAGAAAAUUAUAUGAUUUAUCACUUGGUUUUAUAGGUAUAGAAUUUGGGGUUUUGGUUUUAAAAGAUUGCUCUAUUGUAAAAAUGAAUAAUAUGGAAAUAGGAUUUGAGUAUAAUCCAGUGGAAUUGCUUAUCAGAGGGUAGGAAAGAGGGGAGGGAGAGAACAUGAAUCAUGUACCAUGGAAAAAUACUUUGAAAUAUUUUAAUUAAAAAAAAAGAAAUGACCAUAUACAAAAUGCAUGGCAUUCCAAAUAUUAUCCUUGAAUCUUCCCGAGUCUCAGUUUCCUCAUCUGUAAAAUGAUUAUUUGCACUGCGUGGUCUAUGAAGGCCCUUCUAGCUUUUGCUCUCAGGUCUUAGAAGGCCAAGAAUCAUUCCUAAACACUGGAGCACCUUCUACCCAUCAAGCAGUCUAUGUGUAGGCUUUGAGUCUUGAGGGUCCUUUAGCUCUAUCUUUAAAGAGGUAUGUAGGGGCAGCUGGGUGGGUCAGAGGAUGGAGAGUCAGGCCUAGAGACAAGAGAUUCCAGGUUCAAAUCUGGCCUCAGACAGUUCCUAGCUGUGUGACCCUGGGCAAGUCACUUAAUCCCCCUUGCCUAGCCCUUACCACUCUUCUGCCUUGGAACCAAUACACAGUAUGGAUUCGAAGGCAGAAGGUAGAGGUUUUUGCCCUUUGGCAAAAUUGGGCCUUUUACCCAAUGAGAGAAUAUAAUCACAAUAAAUCAGCAACAAUUGAUAUUCAGCAAAGCUGAGAACUGCAUUAUGAAAUCUUUCUUUAAAGCUUUCAAAAAAUUUUUUUCAUACAUUAACUCCCUAUAGCAUUACAGUGAUCCCACAAGGGAAGUACUACAGGUAUCAUGAUUCCCAUUUUACAGAUGAGAGAAAUGAAGCUCAGAGAUCUCUAAGAUCACUUGGUUACUAAGUGGAAGAGGUAGGAUUGGAACUCAGAUCUUCCUGACUCAAAGUCUAACACUCCGUGCAUGCCUUGGUGAAGAAUAUGGAUCUGGACCCACCAAGACUCAGCCAAGCAAAGGCCAUCCUUAGCAAUGACAACUUCUUCCCAUAGGUAAUAAUAUUCUUACUGAAAUGAACUAAGACCUCUGAGUUCUCCCUCUGGCCUGGCCCAAAGUCCAGUAUCUACAACACAAACACUUUUCAAUUUAAUGAAAAAAAAAAAGACAAAACACCACAACUUGUAGCAAGAUGGCACAUUGGAUAGAGUGCUAGGCCUGGAAUUAAGAAGACUUAUCUUCCUGAGUUCGAAUCCAGCAUCAGAACUUACUAGCUGUAUGAUCCUGGGCAAGUCACUUAUUCCUGUUUGCCUCAGUUUCCUCAUCUGUAAAAUGAACUGAAGAAGAAAAUGGUAAACCACUCCAGAAAGGUCAAGAAAACCCAUUUAUGGGGACAUGAAGAGUUGGACACAACUGAAAUGACUGAACUACCACUGUUUAUUUGUAAAGAGGUUUUCAGAGAACUCACCUGAAGCAGGUAGGUCAGGGACUAUCCCUGUUUUUUAAACAGAUGAAGAAACUGAGGCUCAGAUAUCCGAUAAGUAGCAACUUCCAAGGUCAGCAAAGCUGAGACAAGAACCUUGUUUCCCUAAUUCUUAGUGUCAAAUCACCUCAAAAGAGGGGAGAAGACAAAGUUAAAUGAUGACUUUGUUGGAAGGCCUCCAGUCAAAGAAAAACCUCUACUUGCCCAGCUAGCCAGUUCUAGUUUUUUGGGGAGCUUCCAUGAUGAGGAGUCCUUUCCCUCGAGCCUCAAUUUGCCGCUCUACAACAGAACUGGUAGAACCAGAAAUCUUUGCAAAGCCUUUGUCGAAGUCUCUCAUGUGGAAAAAAAAAAUAUGGACAGAUUGGGAACAACUUCAUUUUACAGGUGAGUAAACUGAGUCCCAGAUAGACACACCUUAAGUUCACAGAGUGAAAAAUAGCAGAGCUGGAAUUAGAACCCAGAUCCUAGGACUUCAAGCCUCUGGCCACCAUCUUCCCACUUAAUUCUAGUGCCUUCCCUCGGUUGAUUAUCUCCAGUUUUUUCUACAUCUAGCUUGUUUGUACAAGGUUGUUUGGAUGUCAUCUCCUCCAUUAGACCAUGAACUCCUGGAGAGCAGGGACUGUCUUUUGUCUUUCCUUAUAUUCCUGGUGCUUAGCACAGUGCUGGGCACAUGGUAGGUUCUUACAGAAUAUUAACUGCUCCACUGAUUUCCCCCUGUGCCAGUUGGUAACUUUCAGGGAUAAUUCCUGAUCUACCUGCUGUGCCAGUUGGUCAUUUUCCAUAUGAAUAGAGUGAUCUUCUGACUCUGCUAAGCACCUUUCACAAAUAUUCUCUCAUCCAGUCCUCACUACAGCCCUAGAUAGAAGUGCUAUUAGUAUCCCCAUUUUACAGUUGAAAAAACUGAGGUCCAAUGACUGGCCCAGGAUCUCACAGCUAGAAAGCCUCUGAAGCUACAUUAGAAUGCAUGUCUUCCAUGUAAUGCCCAGUGGAUUUACGCGUCGGUUAUGGGGGGUGGGGGGAGGAAAAGAAAAUGAUCUAUGUCUUUAAUGAAUAAUGCUUGGAAAUGAUCAAAUAAAAUAUAUUAAAAAAUAUAUUUUAAUAAAAAAAAAAGAAUGCAUGUCUUCAUGGCUCCAGGUUCAG